rnacentral:tRNA from 1 species
GGCGUGGUGGCUGAGUGGUUAUAGCGAUAGACUAGAAAUCUAUUUCCUUCGGGAGCGCAGGUUCGAAUCCUGCCCACGUCG